GAUGAAGAACGUAGUGAAAUGCGAUAAGUAAUGUGAAUUGCAGAAUUCAGUGAAUCAUCGAAUCUUUGAACGCACAUUGCGCCCGCCAGUAUUCUGGCGGGCAUGCCUGUCCGAGCGUCAUUUCAACCAUCAAGCCCCGGGCUUGUGUUGGGGACCUGCGUCCGACGCAGGCCCUGAAAACCAGUGGCGGGCUCGCUGUCCACACCGAGCGUAGUAACUAACCUCGCUAUGGAGUGGCGCGGGCGCCUGCCGUAAAACCCCCAAUUUCACAAGGUUGACCUCGGAUUAGGUAGGAAUACCCGCUGAACUUAAGCAUAUCAAUAAGCGGAGGA
rnacentral:misc_RNA from 1 species